UGACAUCCCUUUCCUGAUGUGGUAUGUAGUUUAUUUGCUCUUCUUUUUUUGUUCUAGUUUCAUUCACUUGUUCACAGGCCACUCUCUCUUCCCCAUUGUAAUCUAAACAAUCAUCUCUCCUUCUUACGUGGCUAAAUGCCUGAGAAACCUUCCCCUGCUCCAAGACACUGCCCUGAUGGAAGCAUAUAAUCUCCCCACAGAAGCCUGAGCUUUAUUUUCUUUGGCCUUGAGCUGUUCUGAGCAAUCUGAAAAACAGUGGCAUCUGAGCCCCCAUACAAGUGAGCUGCUCAGCCUGCCCCUCUUUGGGACCAACCAAGUGCAAGGACUGGUGCUGUGCUAAAACAUUGUCACAUAAACAAAAAAAAUCUUGGAAGUCAUUUGCAAGUCAGUUUUCUGGCCAAUUGGUCUGGCUGCAUGACUUACAAGUGUUUCUUUUGACAUUUUGUUUGAGAGAAGGUAGGGGCUCCACAUGGAUUUAACAUCACUGUGAAAUGCAAGCUGUGUUCAAAUAAAAUAAUACACUAUGCCUUAGCAAGAAGCUAAACAGCACCAGUCUGGCAGCUCUCCAGGCCUACUGAAUUACAAGUGAAAAUCAAGUAGACAGAGCAGCUUUUAAGCUUCUGCCCGCCAGCCAAAGCAGCCUUGUUAGCAGGGACACAGCUUCAUGGCAGCAGCAGUGUGCGAAAGCAGCGGGUGUGGGUGCAAGCAGCUUUUGGACCCUUAGCUUCUGGCAGGCCAUUGCUUCUCCCUUGAAAGGUGGUUGUGAAACUCAGAAAGUUUCACUGAAGAAAUUGCUGGUGCAUGAUCUGUAUGGCCUUGAGCAGAGCUUUCCCUGGAGCAAGGUGUUCUCUGGGACAAGCGUCAUCCAUCGCGGUGCUCGCUUACAGCUGAGAUAUUUUUGCUUCUGCAGCUAUUACAGCACGUAACAGUUCAUGGCAGGCAGUAUGGUUUCUUAUAGACAUAGCAAGAAACUGGAGCAGGUUAGACAGCAGUCUGCAAUGGCUUGGCCAAACCCAGGACUACAUGAACUUUCUUACUUGAGGCCUAAAUGUAAGUAUUUCAAGUGUGAUGGACUUAGCAAUCAUCUAAACACAUAUGUGUGUACAUAUACACAAUAUGUAUACCUAUAUACGUAUACACAUACACUCACAUGUAUGUAUACAUACAUGUGAUGGGAGCCAGAUGAAACAACAUGUGGACUUGCACACAAUAUUGUAUACACACAUAAGUGUAUAAUAUGUGUAGAUUAUAUGUGUGUGUGUAUGUAAGUAUACAGGUACACAUGGCUUUCCUGUAGUUCCAACCUGUAUAAAAGUUAAACAUUUUAUAAUCCUAGGCUAUUCAGUAGCCAUAAUUCAUCUCUGUUGCCUAGAGACUGAUCUCAAGAAUGAAACCACACUCAGACUGUCUCUUUCAGGCAGUCUCUUAGACACCCAACACUGAGGCAGAGAUCCUAAUUCCUGAUUUCUGAGACCCCACAUAACUUACCUGUUAGAUACUGAAUACUGAAGUGUGAAUAGCAGUAAUCGCUCCAUGAACUGCAUUCUAAACAGGACUUUUAAUGGUACUUCUCUAGACUCAUACUGAUAAUAGCUGCAAUCUACUCAAAUGUAAACAAAUUUGAUGUAGCACAAGGGAUUUCUUCUGGAAAGAGUUGUGCACUUGUGUCAACCCUGAAAGUGCCAGGCAUUGCCAUGUAAGAUCACCAUGUCCACCUUAAUGGCAAAACCCAUCCUCCUCUUUUUAAAUAGUAAGACUAUAGCUAAAAUGAUUCUCCAGAAGAUCUGUAUGAGAAUCAAGUUUAUGGCUUUUCAACAGUAAUCAGUUCCAGCAUUUCAGAUUUUCUGCCAAGAAAAUGCAAUUUAUUCCUCUUGGGCAUGCAGAAAAAAUAUAUUUUGGAUCAUUUUCCUAAAGAAGGAUGAUUAUGGGACUUCUCUGCCUGUUUGUUACUUCCCUCCUUGCAGUAGCUUUUGAAUCUAAAGCUUAAUUUCAACUGUAUUUAAUGAGCUAUUCUACCCCCAAACUUUGAUAAAAAAUGAUAGCAGGGAAAGGAG
ensembl:lncRNA